GUGAAUCAUCGAAUUUUUGAACGCAAAUUGCACUUUCGGGUAUUCCGGGGAGUAUGCCUGUUUGAGGGUCGGCUAAAUAAAAAUCGGUAUUGUUGCUGCCUUUCGUGGUGACGCGGCUGGAGUUGGGAGUCGUACCUUCGGUUAAGUGACUUAAAAUGUUUGCAUGAUUUUCGAACGAAUUUAAAUAGCUUACGUACGUUUGAGAAAUAGAAUGAUUAUGAGG
rnacentral:misc_RNA from 1 species